CUAGACCUGACCAAGGGAGAAUGAGAGUAGGUGCAGGGCUCUAGAGCUGUGACCAGGGUCUCUUCCCUACCCCAGCCCCAAUCCGAGGGCAGAAGGAGAUGAAGAUUCUUGCAGGUCUUCCUGCUGUGCUAACCAGUGCACACACCAUACCCUCGGAAGACCAGCCUUGGUUCGCAGAGGUCCAAAACGUCAAUCCUCCCUGUCCUUUCCUGUGAUUCUUCCAAGGCUGUCUUCAGAGGAAGAGGCUGGGAGCAGCGGUGGCCUCCAUUGUCUGUCAUGGACCUCUGCUUCCUUUAAUCAAAAGAGAAAUAAGAGUGUAAGCUACGAGGACAGAGAUCUCUGCACAGCCUGGAGAGUGCACACCAACCACUCCCACUAA
rnacentral:lncRNA from 1 species